GAUGAACGCUGGCGGCGUGCUUAACACAUGCAAGUCGAACGGUGAAGCAGGAGCUUGCUCCUGUGGAUCAGUGGCGAACGGGUGAGUAACACGUGAGCAAUCUGCCCUGGACUCUGGGAUAAGCGUUGGAAACGACGUCUAAUAACGGAUACGAGGCGUGGGGGCAUCCCCAACACCUGGAAAGAACUUCGGUCCAGGAUGAGCUCGCGGCCUAUCAGGUAGUUGGUGAGGUAACGGCUCACCAAGCCUACGACGGGUAGCCGGCCUGAGAGGGUGACCGGCCACACUGGGACUGAGACACGGCCCAGACUCCUACGGGAGGCAGCAGUGGGGAAUAUUGCACAAUGGGCGCAAGCCUGAUGCAGCAACGCCGCGUGAGGGACGACGGCCUUCGGGUUGUAAACCUCUUUUAGCAGGGAAGAAGCGAAAGUGACGGUACCUGCAGAAAAAGCACCGGCUAACUACGUGCCAGCAGCCGCAGUAACAC
rnacentral:rRNA from 1 species